GCGAUAUUUUGUCAUAUUUUUAGCGAUGUUCUAUCAUCAUUUAGGCACAACCACAUUGAUUUUUUUGGAACUACCGAAUAGGCAAUAGCCUCGUACUCAUACGUUGAGACAGUUUCAAUUCCACAACAUGGAUUGGGUUCACACAUAAAGCACCAAUUAGACAUCGCGCGCAAAUCGCAGUGCUAGAAAAAUGUUUGGGUUCGAUUGAGACGGAGUAAUCAAUCAAUCAGGGCAUAAAGACUGAACCGUUGCAACAAAACUCAGAAAUGAAUCGCACAUGUACUGCAUGACAUACAUCUACCAAAUCAAGAUCAGAUCCAAGUCCAAGUUCAUGUUCAGUUGCUAGACAUACACUGCAACUAUUAUUACAUCAGUUUCAAUUGCAAUAUGCUCUUCAAGCAAGACAGGUGGGCUGUGGGCUGUGGCUGUCGCUGGUGAGCGGCUUGUGCUGGGAAGGAACGAGAGAGGGAGAGCAAUGAGGUCGUUUUCCCGAUCUUCACGAUGAAGGAUAACUAGCUGAAGAUCAGCCGAUAACUUGCUGCAAGCAUCAAGGAUAACUAGUGCAACCUGACGACACGCACAAGGAGCCAACCACCGUCUCUAUACGGCAGCCUGAACCAAGGAUUCGUCCAACCACACUCUCAAAGAACCAACCUACGCAACCUGAACUCGAGGAUCAGGAGCAUGGAUUGGGUGCCGAUGAUGCGGCCACUUCUGUAAUCUCCGCGAAGGAAAACACAAGAGCAAAGGGGUAGAGAUCACUCUCUGAAUUUGUUAGCACGCAGCUGAACAAAGGGGUUCUGUAUUUCAAUUAUCAAAGUCUGUAGAUUACAAUGAGUCUUAGGGGGUAUUUAUACUAGCAACAGCCCUGCUAGAUAGGUAUGAAAACAAAAUAGAGUUUUUGAGGGAAGGCAAUGUGAAAGGUCCCCUCGAAAUGGAUUCCCGAAGUGGCUUCGCGUGACUGUUGGCCUCUAGAGCAGUUUUCAAUAAACUGACCAUAACUUUUUAUUGGGAAGUCCAAAUGAUGAACCGUUUCUUGGGUGUGAAACUAGACUCCAAGACCUUUCAAGCAAUGUAUGGCAUGCACCACGAAACAUUGUAGAUUGGUACAGUUUUACUUGGCAAGUUGUACCAACAUUCUGUCAUGAUAGACUGUUGAUCUUCUGAGCAGUCUGUACUAAUUCUGCUCUGUAGGCAAUAUGGUGUAUCGAAACUGGUCGCCACUAAAUUUAUUGAAUAGUAGACUCGACAAGCUUUCUAA
rnacentral:lncRNA from 1 species